rnacentral:rRNA from 1 species
UGGGGAAUAUUGGACAAUGGGCGCAAGCCUGAUCCAGCCAUGCCGCGUGGAUGAUGAAGGCCUUAGGGUUGUAAAGCUCUUUUGGCGGGGACGAUAAUGACGGUACCCGCAGAAUAAGCUCCGGCUAACUUCGUGCCAGCAGCCUCGGUAAUACGAAGGGAGCUAGCGUUGUUCGGAAUCACUGGGCGUAAAGCGCACGUAGGCGGAUUAUUAAGUCAGGGGUGAAAUCCCGGGGCUCAACCUCGGAACUGCCUCUGAUACUGCAAAUCUCGAGUCCGAUAGAGGUGAGUGGAAUUCCUAGUGUAGAGGUGAAAUUCGUAGAUAUUAGGAAGAACACCAGUGGCGAAGGCGGCUCACUGGAUCGGUACUGACGCUGAGGUGCGAAAGCGUGGGGAGCAAACAGGAUUAGAUACCCCCGUAGUCCCUGAGCGGGCUGGCAAGGCGCAU